rnacentral:rRNA from 1 species
AUGGAGGAGCAUCUAGAAGGAGAGGAGAAGGACUGGAACUUUGAUUCAUCUGAUGAGGAUUAAUACUCCUAUGGUGAGGAUUCUGAUGGAGAGCCAGAGAAGAUGAAGAGCAAGUUUCCUAGAUUCAAUAAUGACAGUGAAAUUCCAAACUUCCAGUUGUCAAUGGUCUUCAAAAGCAAGAACCAGCUAGUCAAAGCAUUGAAGAGAUAUGGGCUAGUGACAAAAAGAAGCAUUGUGUUCCAAAAAUCAGAGAUAAAUAGAGUUAGAGCCAAGUGUGGAUGGCCUGGAUGCCCUUGGAUGAUAUAUGUAGCAAAAACUAGCAGGACAAGCAGAUUCCAAGUCAUCACAUAUAAUGAUGAACAUCAUUGGGCCCAAAACAGAGAGAAUAGGCUAGUGACUGCAAAGGUUAUUGCACAGAGGUAUGAGCACUUCAUUCUUGCAAAUCCAAUGUGGAAGAUAGAGAGUAUGAAAGCUACAGUAUUGCAAGAUAUGUUUGCAGAUGUGUCCACCUCAAAGUGCAAGCAUGCAAAGAAACUUGUGAUGGACAAAUUGCUAUGUGGCAUGAAGAAUGAAUGUACCAGAGUGUUUGAUUACCAGCUUGAGCUUCUUAGAAGUAAUCCUAGAAGUACAGUGGCAGUUUGUUUGGAUCCAACUGACAAGAGGAACAAUAUAUUUUAG